rfam:Microgenomates (Collierbacteria) bacterium GW2011_GWA2_46_26 TX47_C0004, whole genome shotgun sequence.
CGGGGUGUAGUGAAUCGGUAUCACGCUUCGUUCGGGACGAAGAGACACGGAGUUCAAUUCUCCGCACCCCGA